GGGUCAUUAGCUCAGUUGGCUAGAGCGCUACGUUGACAUCGUAGAGGUCAGUGGUUCGAAUCCGCUAUGACCCA
rnacentral:tRNA from 1 species